AAUGAACGUUGGCGGCGUGGAUUAGGCAUGCAAGUCGAGCGCGAACCCAGCAAUGGGUGAAAGCGGCGGAAGGGACAGGAGUGCGUAGAUUACGUGCCCUUGGGACUGGAAUAGCUGCGGGAAACUGCAGGUAAUGCCAGAUAAUAUCUCCGGAUCAAAGGUGUGAUUCCGCCCAAGGAGCGGUCUACGUCCUAUUAGUUAGUUGGUGGGGUAAUGGCCUACCAAGACUUUGAUGGGUAGCGGGUGUGAGAGCAUGACCCGCGUCACUGGGACUGAGACACUGCCCAGACACCUACGGGUGGCUG
rnacentral:rRNA from 1 species